GCGGCCAUAGCUCAAUUGGUAGAGCACAGGACUGUGACUCCUGGGGUUACCGGUUCAAGCCCGGUUGGUCGCC
rnacentral:tRNA from 1 species